AAGAGACAUUAUACAAAUGCAAGCUGUUGUCACAACAAUGAUAAGAAAUCAGGAGUCGAAAGAUGUGGAGUAAGGGGGAAUUUCAGAGAAACCACAAAACACAAAAUAGGAAACAGAGACAGGAGAAGAUUGCUAUGACAAAAUUGCAGAAGGUGAAAUCUUUGGCAGCCUCUUAUUUCUCUGGAGAAUAUGAUAUUGUCAGGCUGAGGUGGAAGAAUCACAUGGUCAUACUGUUGAAGAGGUCUUGAAACAUUGGGCUUUCCUCUACAAGCGGAAGGAUAGCACUGGCAGCCAUCCACUGGCCCAGCAAUAUCCUGGAUUGAGACGAUAUCAUUUGCAUUACUUGCUGAAUGAAACAUAGUGAAAAUGACUGCAGAUAACCUCAACUAAGUCCAAGAUAUCAUUUUCAAAUCUGGACCAGCCCUUGCCAUCUAGACUGAACAGAGAUUCCAGUUUCCAGGAGAGUAGAUGGAGUAAUGAUAAAAGCACCUCCCAAAACUUUUGCCUUGGUACUACAGAGUGGCACAUAACUAAACAUUAUCAAGGAAUUUUACAGCCCUAGGCCUUCUAUUACUGUGUAUUACAGUCUGCUGUAAUCAUUCUAAUGGUCUAAGAUGUUGCAAGUAAUUUACUCACGGCCUGAACACCAGAAGUGCCAAAAUUGCCUGGGAGUUUUAUUCUGCAUCCAACCAGUACCAGGAAGGAGGAUGUAUUACUUCUCGUUUCUCUACAAGUGUCAGUGCAAAUCCAGCCAUCAAACAAAACUUAGACCUAAAAGCUUUUAGAUUACAG
rnacentral:lncRNA from 10 species